rnacentral:rRNA from 1 species
UACGAAGGGGGCUAGCGUUGUUCGGAAUUACUGGGCGUAAAGCGCACGUAGGCGGAUUUGUUAGUCAGGGGUGAAAUCCCGGGGCUCAACCUCGGAACUGCCUUUGAUGCUGCAAGUCUUGAGUCCGGAAGAGGUGAGUGGAAUUCCUAGUGUAGAGGUGAAAUUCGUAGAUAUUAGGAGGAACACCAGUGGCGAAGGCGGCUCACUGGUCCGGUACUGACGCUGAGGUGCGAAAGCGUGGGGAGCAAACAGG